rnacentral:piRNA from 1 species
UAGUUUAUUUAAAUAUUUGAA